rnacentral:rRNA from 1 species
GAGGAAUAUUGGUCAAUGGACGGAAGUCUGAACCAGCCAAGUAGCGUGCAGGAUGACGGCCCUAUGGGUUGUAAACUGCUUUUGUAUGGGGAUAAAGUUAGGGACGUGUCCCUAUUUGCAGGUACCAUACGAAUAAGGACCGGCUAAUUCCGUGCCAGCAGCCGCGGUAAUACGGAAGGUCCAGGCGUUAUCCGGAUUUAUUGGGUUUAAAGGGAGCGUGGGCUGGAGAUUAAGUGUGUUGUGAAAUGUAGACGCUCAACGUCUGAAUUGCAGCGCAUACUGGUUUCCUUGAGUACGCACAACGUUGGCGGAAUUCGUCGUGUAGCGGUGAAAUGCUUAGAUAUGACGAAGAACUCCGAUUGCGAAGGCAGCUGACGGGAGCGCAACUGACGCUUAAGCUCGAAGGUGCGGGUAUCAAACAGGAUUAGAUACCCUGGUAGUCCGCACAGUAAACGAUGGAUGCCCGCUGUUGGUACCUGGUAUCAGCGGCUAAGCGAAAGCAUUAAGCAUCCCACCUGGGGAGUACGCCGGCAACGGUG